AAUUACGUUAAUCUAUAUCAAAAUGAUUUUUUCGAAAUUUUAGAAGAUCACUUUUUAUUUUUUCUUAAAUAUCUUAAGUCGUAGAAAUCUGGUGAUAUUUGUACCGAUAUAUUCUUUUUUCUUACUGUCUGGCGUAUCGAUUGAAAAAAAAAUACUUCAAAAUAGCUUCAUUAGAUACAGAAGUAUAAACAAAAGAAGACUCUGAAUUACUUUAAGCAAUGAGUGUUAAAAUAGGGUGGCCAAAAAUGAGUGGUAACUGUGGGUUAAAACACAGAAAACGUCACCGCGCCGGAAAAAAAUCGCGUUAUUAACGUGUCGACGUCGGAAAAGUCGCUUUGUACCUCAGAAGACGAAAACGUGCAGGAGAGAAUUUCAACGACAAGCGUAAACAAAAAAAGAGAGAUGUUGAAAGACGAGAGGAGAAACGUGCCGUGCGAGGCGCCAUACGAUCUUGCGAAGAAACUGUAUUGGCCGGAAUUCAGAAACUGGCCAAUUUUGAACCUGGUAAAGCACGAAUUUAUCAUGAAAAUUCGUAUGGUUAUGGUAUACGGUGAUCGUGGUAACAGAACACUAAUUGUGAAAAAGGACAAGAAUGUGCACGCUUUAGAUUUUAAUGGAAAGUAUUAUAAAUAUUUCAAUUUUGGUGAUACACAUAUUAGUUUCUAUCCAAAAAUAAUAUUAUAUCGAUUUCAAUUCUUAUUUAUAACGA